rnacentral:lncRNA from 1 species
GUGUCCAUGAGCCUCUUCCUCAUCGCCUCGUCCUCGAUGAACGUGGAGUUGGCCUCCUCGUAGACCCAGUUGUCGACCUGCCCAGACGUGGCGCUCCACCCGACGGUGUUGGUGAGCCGCUUCUCGAUCUCCCUGACCCCCUCGUACCCGCUCUUCAUCAUCCCCUCGUACCACUUGGGGUUCAGCAGCUUGGUCCUCGCGUCGAGGCGCACCGUCUCCGACAGCGUCCUCACCUGGGCGUUCGCCGUGGUGGUGUCGGCUAUGUACGAGGACGGCGCCCGCCCGUCCUUGCGCAGCCCCUGCACGAGCUUGGUCGGGUCCGAGUCGAAGUAGUGGCUCACGUCCGUCAGCGAGAUCUCCGACGAGUCGAGGUUCUGGAACGUGGCGUCCGCCGUCGCCAGGGCGAGCUCGAACGCCUUGCGCUUCUCCUUCAUGCCUGCCCCAGGGGCGUCGCUGUCGAACGCGAAGGACUUGCGGCUCAGGUACAUGUCCUGGAGCUGCUUCUCGUCGGUCCAUGACGCGUUCUCCACCGCCAGGUUCACGUUGGACGAGUAGGAGCCUGAUGCGUUCGAGAACACCCUUGUCGCCGCCUCCCUUAGCGACACGCCGAGCUCCUCCGCCUGCUCCUGGGCGUGCUUGCGCACGUAGUUCAUCUCUGCUGGCUCGUCCAGUUCGGCCACCAUCUUCACUGCCCUGUCCAGCAGGUUC